rnacentral:rRNA from 1 species
CCUACGGGUGGCAGCAGUCGAGAAUCAUUCACAAUGGGCGAAACCCUGAUGCAGCGACGCAGCGUGGGGGAAUGAAGGUCUUCGGAUUGUAAACCCCUUUCAUGUGGGAGCAAAUUAAAAAGAUAGUACCACAAGAGGAAUAGAGGGCUAACUCUGUGCCAGCAGCCGCGGUAAUUCAGAGGUGUCAAGCGGUGUUCGGAAUCACUGGGCGUAAAGCGUGCGUAGGCUGUUUCGUAAGGCGUGUGUGAAAGGCGCGGGCUCAACCCGCGGACGGCACAUGAUACUGCGAGACUAGAGUAAAGGAGGGGGAACCGGAAUUCGCGGUGUAGCAGUGAAAUGCGUAGAUAUCGAGAGGAACACUGGUGGCGAAGGCGGGUUCCUGG